rnacentral:rRNA from 1 species
AGCGAACGCUGGCGGCAGGCCUAACACAUGCAAGUCGAACGAAGCCUUCGGGCUUAGUGGCGGACGGGUGAGGAACACGUGGGAACGUACCUUUUGGUUCGGAAUAACGCAGAGAAAUUUGCGCUAAUACCGAAUGAGCCCUUCGGGGGAAAGAUUUAUCGCCGAAAGAUCGGCCCGCGCCGGAUUAGGUAGUUGGUGUGGUAAAGGCGCACCAAGCCUACGAUCCAGAGCUGGUCUGAGAGGAUGAUCAGCCACACUGGGACUGAGACACGGCCCAGACUCCUACGGGAGGCAGCAGUGGAGAAUCUUGCGCAAUGGGCGAAAGCCUGACGCAGCCAUGCCGCGUGAAUGAUGAAGGUCUUAGGAUUGUAAAAUUCUUUUACCAGGGACGAUAAUGACGGUACCUGGAGAAAAAGCCCCGGCUAACUUCGUGCCAGCAGCCGCCGUAAGAC